GUGUCAGCAGCCGCGGUAAGACGUAGGUGGCGAACGUUAUCCGGAAUUAUUGGGCGUAAAGGGUGCGUAGAUUGCUUGGUAAGUUGGCGGUGGGAAAUCGAGGCUCAACCUCGUGGAAGCCGGCAAUACUGCUAAGCUCGAGUACAGGAGAGGUUAAUGGAACUCCAUGUGGAGCGGUAAAAUGCACAGAUAUAUGGAAGAACACCAAUAAAGGCGAAGGCAAUUAACUAUUCUGUUACUGACAUUGAGGCACGAAAGCGUGGGGAGCAAAACGGAUUAGAUACCCGCGUAGUCC
rnacentral:rRNA from 1 species